rnacentral:rRNA from 1 species
AGGACGACGCUGGCGGCGUGCUUAACACAUGCAAGUCGAACGGAAAGGCCCUGCUUUGUGGGGUGCUCGAGUGGCGAACGGGUGAGUAACACGUGAGUAACCUGCCCUUGACUUUGGGAUAACUUCAGGAAACUGGGGCUAAUACCGGAUAGGAGCUCCUGCUGCAUGGUGGGGGUUGGAAAGUUUCGGCGGUUGGGGAUGGACUCGCGGCUUAUCAGCUUGUUGGUGGGGUAGUGGCUUACCAAGGCUUUGACGGGUAGCCGGCCUGAGAGGGUGACCGGCCACAUUGGGACUGAGAUACGGCCCAGACUCCUACGGGAGGCAGCAGUGGGGAAUAUUGCACAAUGGGCGGAAGCCUGAUGCAAGCAACGCCGCGUGCGGGAUGACGGCCUUCGGGUUGUAAACCGCUUUCGCCUGUGACGAAGCGUGAGUGACGGUAAUGGGUAAAGAAGCACCGGCUAACUACGUGCCAGCAGCAGC